UGGCGUUCAGUAACUCGAGACAGGUGAGUAGAAUGGUAGCAAAGAUAUGGUCUUCAUUAACUCGAGACAAGUGAGUACUACCAUUCUACUCAGUUGUCUCGAGUUACUGAAUGCCAUA
rnacentral:pre_miRNA from 1 species